GAGACAGAGGGCCAGUUUGGCAGGGCUCCGGCUCUGGCUCCUCUGGUGGAAUGGCUUCUUCGGCUCUGGCUCCUCCAUUUGGAAAAUCGUUUAGCAAAACGGCUCUUCCGUGUAGUUUAAAAUAGUUAGAUAAGAUGAAAUACUCAUAAUAUCCUUUCAUUUUCCUUUUUUUUUCUUUUCUUCCUAUUUAUUUUCUUUCUUUUCUCUUACUAUUUCCUUUUCCUAUUUCUUUUCUCUCCUCCCAUUCCUUUUCCUAUCUCUUUUCUUUCCUUCCUACCCUCCCACGCCGGCCUCCCAUUCUUCUCUCUCUUCCCUAUCCUCCCAUGCCGGCCAGAGCUCUCCCCCGCCGAUCCAC
rnacentral:lncRNA from 1 species